GGAGCCCCGCCGGGCUGGGCGCGGGGAGGGCGGGCGGGCGCUGGGCGGGGGGCGGCGGCGGUGUCCCCGGUGCGGCGGGGAGCGGCGGCCGCGGGGCCGGGAGCAUUUAUCGGCUCCGUGCCCGGCGCGGCUCGGCGGCGGCGCCGCCGCGAUUGGCCACCGCCGUCCGGCCCGGCCGCGCCGCCCCCGCUGAUUGGGCGAGCGGCGGCUCUCGCCCAUCGGCCCGGCCGGCGCGACGGCGGCGCGGCCCGAACGGCACCGGCACCGCGCGCCUCGGCUCGGCUCGGCUCGACACGACACGGCACGGCACGGCACGGCACGGCCCCGCGCUGACCCCGCGGGCACAGCCGCGCUGGACCCUUUCCUCGCAAGCGGAGGGCGGCCGGCGAUGGGGAUCUACUCGGUUCCCCGACGGCCGCCCCAGCCCCGGGAGAGAAACACCGACCGGGCCGGCCUGGACAUCGCACCCCUCAGGACCUUGUGUCACUGCGGGACUCCGCGGGACAGCACCCGCCUGACUGCCACGAAGCGUUUCGUCUCCUGCCUCCGCUCCCCGAGCAUCAGCCGCGGGAAGAAACAUCUCUGGAACAAAUGGUGCUCACUGUUUGGAAAGGAAGAGCUGCCAGUGAGAUCUUCGUGGGGAUAUCUGCCUUUAAAAACUGAUGGGACAAGAAUGUCCCUGCGUUUCACGCGUGUGCGUGAGCGUUUAUAUGUGCAUGGGUGCGAGGCGGUGCAUGUUAAAGUCUUACUAACAAGCGUUUGUUCCCAGGAAUUUAUUGUAGUAUUCAAACUAAACUGCUGGAAAAAUAAAAGAGGUAAAGUCUGCCUCGGAGCUGGAGUGCCCACAGCAGGAUAUGACGCCAGGAGUGUUGUAAAGACUGUCUGUCCUUAGAGAAGGUACCAUUGUGCACGGCCUUUUAUUUAUAACUUGGUAAGUGCCAGCAAACUCGCCUCCUUUACACUCCGAAGUGCCAGCCCGGCUUUCCACAGGGCUCUUUAUUUGCAAUCGUCUAUUCAGGAACUGUCACUCCCGAGCUUCAAGUUAUUCAAGACCUUAAUCAAUCAAAAGGAUGAGAAUCGCUCAGGUUUCCUCCUUUGAAAUGAAGGGGAAAAAUGUUUUCUGGGCUCCCAGUCCGCUUUCCCUUUACGAGCCGGACGAUGGUUGCGGGGCCGGAGCCGGCCACAGGGUGGGCGGGGGUUCGCGUUAUUUAGGCAGAAAUCCGGAGCCCUAAUAAUAAGCGAACCGGCCGUCAAGGGACCGGCAGCAGCCCGGCGUGGCCCCUGGGGAAACUCGGGGUUUGCGUCGGGCUCCGCUCCGCAGCGCGGAACGAGGGCUCCGCAGAAGAAGCGGCACCCACAGCACGGGUGGGUGCCUCUGGCCCGUGGUCCCGCUCUGCCCCAAGCCCCAAGCGCCGGCCACCAAACCGAGUGGUUUCCAUUGCUUUCAAACGCACACAAACACUCCCAAACUCCGGUUGCUGCCCGGGAACGCUCCCGCACCCCGAGGAAGAGGCCGGCAGGAAAAUUUCACGCUCAGUGAAAGUCACCGUGUAUUUCACAAAGCGGUUGUGUCCUACAAACCCUGCGGUGGCCGGAGCUCUGGGAAACCCGUUAGGGAGCCCUGUGGGAGCCCAGUGCGGGGAGAGCGGGGCCGAGCCGGGCGGCGGAGCGCCCGCACAGCCGGGGAGCGGCCGGGCCCGUGGCGCGGCAGGAGCCGGGCGGGCCGAGCCCUCGUUCCACGGACCACGCCGCGCCACUCGCCACGCGCCUUUAGCUGGAGGGGGGAAGUCGGUAGAAGUGUUGUUUAAAAGGGGAUUAAACUCCUCAGGGUUUAAUUCUCGCUCGGGAACCCCCGGCGGGGAGCAGGGCCGCACGAAGGGCACCCGGCUAUAACAGCAUCCCCGCACCCCCUCACUGCCCACCGGCACAGCUGCGGCCCCGAGUGUGGGAGCAGAAACCCUUGGUAGCCAUCGCCACCGGUGGCAUCGUGAUGCUGUGGGCAGUAAUCCUCGUCCACGCCAGGAGAGAUGCGGACUGGGACUGUCCCGACCCCUCACCCUCGAGGAGGAGGAGCGGAGCCACUCAUCCCGGCAGGAGAGCCAGCCUGGGCAGUGUUUUCCAGCUGCUUCUCCCUCCUUUAACGCCGCGCCUCCGUGUGCGUGCCGCGUGUUUUUGCGUGGAGCCGGUGUCGCGCCCGGGGCCGCUCCAGGCCCAUCUCGCCCCGGCCUUGCCGCAAACCCUCUCGGCAGCUCCGGAGCCGCUCCCCGCGAUCCUUCGCGGCUGGACCAGAGCCUGGACGUCUCCCCCGACAGGGCUGGAGGCUCCCGCAGCUCCGGUUCCCGUUCCGCGCCCGGCCCCGUGGGGCUGCCGUGGCCCCCGCAAACCAGAGCGACCCCGCAGCCCCAAAGCCGAGCCGCGCUUCCCCAGGACAGGAUCCCGGCCCGGGCUCGCCUGGACGGCAGGAAAAGCCGUGUGAAACCCACCUAGUCUCGCCCUCGCGGUCCUGCGCUACCAGACACCAGUGCCCCGCGAUGAACCAGCCUCAUCUUCCCGCACGGGAGCUGUGAAAAAUUCAAGGCAAAAAGAUUAGGCACGAAUGCCUGGCCCCGCUCCUCCCUCCCCUCCUCGCCCCCACCCCCAUAUUACAGUCCUUUAGGCCAGCAGAGAUGAUUUCACGGUUUUCCAGUGGAAAUAGCUAAAAACGCUCCUGCUAAUUACAGAGCUCUUCCAGGCCAGGUGCACUUUUAAUUGGAUUAGUAAGUGCUCUAUAUUAAACCUGCAGCACAUCAAAUGGACAGUGAAAAUUAGAGCUAUUAAGAACACAGGCAAUCAUUUCUGAACGAUAAACAGUGUUGGUCUCCCCUCUAUUAGAAAUAAAUCAAUUACACUGUUUCCGGUUUUGCGUGCA
ensembl:lncRNA